rnacentral:snRNA from 1 species
CGUAUAAAUAGAGAGAAGAAGUUCCACUUUAAUAGAACUAUUUUACAAACAUACUUUUAGCGUUAAAAUAUAGUUUUUUCUUGAAUUUUUUUAAAAUCCUAUACUUACCUUAAGAUAUCAGAGGAGAUCAAGAAGUCCUACUGAUCAAACAUGCGCUUCCAAUAGUAGAAGGACGUUAAGCAUUUAUCAUUGAACUAUAAUUGUUCAUUGAAGUCAUUGAUGCAAACUCCUUGGUCACACACACAUACGGCGCGGAAGGCGUGUUUGCUGACGUUUCCAUUCCCUUGUUUCAAUCAUUGGUUAAUCCCUUGAUUCCUUUGGGGAUUUUUGGGUUAAACUGAUUUUUGGGGCCCUUUGUUUCUUCUGCCUGGAGAAGUUUGACACCAAAUUCAAAUUGGUGUUAGGGGAGCUGGGGCCUUUCAAAAGAGAGCUUUGUAGAGGCAUUCUUUUUGACUACUUUUCUCUAGCGUGCCAUUUUAGUUUUUGACGGCAGAUUCGAAUGAACUUAAGUUUAUGAUGAAGGUAUGGCUGUUGAGAUUAUUUGGUCGGGAUUGUAGUUUGAAGAUGUGCUCUUUUGAGCAGUCUCAACUUUGCUCGUUCCCGUUAUGGGAAAAAUUUUGGAAGGUCUUGGUAGGAACGGGUGGAUCUUAUAAUUUUUGAUUUAUUUU